rnacentral:rRNA from 1 species
UACGUAGGUGGCAAGCGUUGUCCGGAUUUAUUGGGUUUAAAGGGUGCGUAGGCGGUCUUAUAAGUCAGUGCUGAAAUAUCCCGGCUUAACCGGGAGGGUGGCAUUGAUACUGUAGGACUUGAGUAGAGUUGAGGUUGGCGGAAUUGACGGUGUAGCGGUGAAAUGCUUAGAUAUCGUCAAGAACACCGAUAGCGAAGGCAGCUUACUGGGCUGUAACUGACGCUGAUGCACGAAAGUGUGGGGAUCAAACAGG